rnacentral:tRNA from 1 species
GGGGCUGUAGCUCAGUGGUAGAGUGCUUGCCUCGCAAGUGUGAGACUGGGUUUGAUCCUCAGCACCACA